UCUGAUCCAGCAAUUCUGUGUGUUUGAUGAAGGCCUUCGGGUUGUAAAGGACUUUCAAUGGGGAAGAAGCAAGUGACGGUACCCAUAGAAGAAGCGACGGCUAAAUACGUG
rnacentral:rRNA from 1 species